UUUUCCGAAAUAGAAACCGCUCAAAAGCAAGCAUGCAGAAUGUCCAGCCAGAAGUAGCCGGUACAAGCCGAGCUACGAGGCUUCGGGCUGUUCACGUGACCAAUCCCAACUUGUCAACUCUCUUUGCCGUGCGUGGUCGCAUCGUUUUGUGCGGUACGUACCAGCAAUGAGGGCCAAGUGGCGUAAGAAGCGGAUGCGAAGGUUGAAGCGCAAGCGCAGGAAGAUGCGUGAGAGGUCCAAGUAGGCCGGACCCACGGGUAGCGGAUGACAAGCCCAGCUGUUGGCAGAGGGAGUGUGUCCCAAGAUGGCGCCUUCACCUUGCUGGCUUGGCUGCACCACUAUCGCCUGGCUCCUGCAUCGGAUGGUGCCCUUGCUCUUACAUGACGGACCCAAGCUCUCGAAGUGCGCAAGGCACACCUCUGGACAUUGGAUCAUCACUUUCACCUCCAUUAAAUGCUCAUCCCACAAUGACCUGGUGCAUCUCCUUUAGGUUUCAGUGUGCUUCACCAUAAAGGGGUUGCCAAAAGUGAAGUGCAUGUUGCUGCAACAAGCCUUGAUUUCUCCUUCACCCUGCGAUUUGUCACAUUAGACAUGAGUUUUGGCAUCGAGUACGAAGUGUCUGGUGAAAUGUCUGCGGCCAACACUACACAAGCAGUGGCGUUAUUUGUUUAGAGCAGGAACUUGGGAUGAGACAGAAGUUUGGCGCGGAACUCGCCUGCUUUUGAAAGCGCUGGAGACCGACCGAUGCAAGAUGGUGGCUGCAGUGGUGGCACGUGAUGUAAAGUAAAUGAAAUGUGGACCUAUGGUUCACAUACGAUGGCUGUCUGCAAACUUCAAAGUUAUCGGUAGCUUGGGGUGGGGCCUACUAACAGCUGGAUGUUUCCCCUCUAUCCCUAAAAACGUCUAUUUUUUUUUUCGGUGAUGUUCUUCAGUGUUCUGCACAUUUCGCUAAAAAAAAAUUUUCAGGUAUUUAUGCGUGCCGACAGUAAAGGGCUUAAAGGGACACUGAAGAUAAAAAUGGGUUUAAUUAGCCAAUUGCUUUCUCCAAUAAUGGGAAGAGCCACCUUUGGGAUGUGAGAUGGUUCUAUAAAUGAGGCUUACUGGGAUGAUCCCUUGGGAAUUUCCUGCACCAGCUGGUUGUGAUGUCAGAUUUUUGUUGCCAUAUUAGUAAAGAUGGACUAGAUCGUA